CGCUAGCGGCAGGCCUAACACAUGCAAGUCGAGGGGCAGCGGGGAUAAGCUUGCUUAUCCGCCGGCGACCGGCGCACGGGUGCGCAACGCGUAUAGAAUCUGCCUUGUACUGGGGAAUAGCCCAGAGAAAUUUGGAUUAACGCCCCAUAGUAUGUAGGAGUGGCAUCACUUUUACAUUAAAGGUUACGGUACAAGAUGACUAUGCGUCCCAUUAGUUAGUUGGUAAGGUAACGGCUUACCAAGGCAGCGAUGGGUAGGGGCCCUGAGAGGGGGAUCCCCCACACUGGUACUGAGACACGGACCAGACUCCUACGGGAGGCAGCAGUGAGGAAUAUUGGACAAUGGGCGGGAGCCUGAUCCAGCCAUGCCGCGUGCAGGAAGACGGUCCUAUGGAUUGUAAACUGCUUUUAUACGGGAAGAACAAGGGGCACGUGUGCCCUUCUGACGGUACCGUAAGAAUAAGGAUCGGCUAACUCCGUGCCAGCAGCCGCGGUAAUACGGAGGAUCCAAGCGUUAUCCGGAAUCAUUGGGUUUAAAGGGUCCGUAGGCGGGCCAUUAAGUCAGGGGUGAAAGUCUGCAGCUCAACUGUAGAAUUGCCCUUGAUACUGGUGGUCUUGAGUUAUAGUGAAGUACCUAGAAUAUGUAGUGUAGCGGUGAAAUGCAUAGAUAUUACAUAGAAUACCGAUUGCGAAGGCAGGUUACUAACUAUAUACUGACCCUGAUGGACGAAAGCGUGGGGAGCGAACAGGAUUAGAUACCCUGGUAGUCCACGCCGUAAACGAUGGAUACUAGCUGUCC
rnacentral:rRNA from 1 species